UUGAGCAGAAAUCAAGAGUCGGACGCUGAACUGACUGAGCCACCCAGUUACCCUCUUCUUUUUUUUUUUUUUUUUUUUAAAUGAAAUGAGGGGGACUACACUGAAAGAUUUUAUAGGUUUGCUUUCUGAGUAAGCACUAAUUCCUCAAGAAGUUCAUAUUGAUCUUAUAUUCUGUGUAGAACAGUGAGCUAAGGACCAGGGGAUGAAAGACAUCAAUACUCAAGGGUACAUCAUCCCAUUCUUUAGGAGGCUAGUAAGUGAAAGGUAAUGAAAAUGCUGAGUCAAAGCAUAUGGCAAUUUUUAUCACGGUCCUUGACACUGACUGCCAUAUUUCUUUCAAAAGAGGCUGUACCAAUUUCAGCACAAGCAUCAAGAUAUGGGUAUCAAUUUUACCUAAUCUUGUCAGCAUUUAAUAGGUAUAAAAUGGUUUCUCGUUUUAGCUUUAUUUUGCACUUUGUUACUACAAACCACUAAUUUAUUGGGCUGAGAGACUCAUAAAUUUAAAUAAAUUUUACAUUUUGCAAAUCUUAA